CCUACGGGUGGCAGCAGUGAGGAAUAUUGGUCAAUGGACGCAAGCCUGAACCAGCCAAGUCGCGUGCAGGAAGACGGCCCUAUGAGUUGUAAACUGCUUUUGUAGGGGGGCAAACGCCGAUACGCGUAUCCGUCCGAAAGUAUCCUACGAAAAAGGAUCGGCUAACUCCGUGCCAGCAGCCGCGGUAAUACGGAGGGGGCGAGCGUUAUCCGGAUUUACUGGGUGUAAGGGGGGCGUAGGCGGCAGGGCAAGUCUGCGGUAAAAUUCCGGGGCCCAACCCCUGGGAGCCGUUGGAACUGGCUGGCUGGAGUGCCUGAGAGGCAGGCGGAAUGCGUAGUGUAGCGGUGAAAUGCGUAGAUAUCAGGCAGAACACCGAUGGCGAAGGCAGCAUACUGGACCGCGACUGACGCUGAGGCACGAAAGCGUGGGUAGCGAACAGGAUUAGAUACCCCUGUAGUC
rnacentral:rRNA from 1 species